UACAAAGUAUUUCUUGUUGCUGUACUGCCAAUAGUUAUCCACCAGAAAGUGCUAUUCUUGGCAAAUAGAUUUAGGUGAAGUCUAUGUCAGGUACAUUUCCAAAUGGAAAAAGUAUUUUAAAGAAAUCAAAGUAAUCUUGAAAAGUAAAUAGAGUCAUUGCCAGAAGGUGUUACUUCAUGCUUUCACUGAUUAGAAACUUGGUUCUCCUUUUGAGAUCAGUUGAUGUUUGACUAAACUUUGCAAGAAUUUAGUUUCACUGUUACGAUUCUUUGCAUUAUAAAAUCAUGUGUUCAUGUCCCCUUAAAUAAACAGUCCUGCUUUAUUCUCCUCCUUUCAACAGUUACGACCUUAGUGGAGCAGGCUUCAAACAGUGCUUUGCUACAGGGUGGUUUGGAAGAUCCAAAUGUGACAUUGUGACAUGUGCCCCACCUGGUGAAGUGGCCGAUGGCACAAGCUCAUGGAAUUCUGCAGAUGAUCCAGAAUAUGGACAAACCAUACACUACGAGUGCAAUGAUGGAUACACUCUUGUUGGGAGUGAUACCAUUAUGUGCAAUGAAACUGGUGAAUAUCACCCUCAGCCUCCUAAAUGCGAAGAAGCCUCCACUACCACAGAGUCAUCAACCACAGAGACAACUCACAGUGAUCAAACUAUCCCAGCCAGUACUGACUCACCUUUAACAACUGUCUCACCUUUAACAACUGUCUCACCUUUAACAACUGUCUCACCUUUAACAACUGUCUCUCCUUCAGUACCAGGUGGCAGAGACAUGUUGACAGUUGAGGAUAAUACUACCGCAACCAAC